UACGGGGGGGGGCAAGCGUUGUUCGGAAUUACUGGGCGUAAAGGGCUCGUAGGCGGCCAACUAAGUCAGACGUGAAAUCCCUCGGCUUAACCGGGGAACUGCGUCUGAUACUGGAUGGCUUGAGUUUGGGAGAGGGAUGCGGAAUUCCAGGUGUAGCGGUGAAAUGCGUAGAUAUCUGGAGGAACACCGGUGGCGAAGGCGGGUCUCUGGGCAACAACUGACGCUGAGGAGCGAAAAGCGUGGGGAGCGAACAGG
rnacentral:rRNA from 1 species